ACGAACGCUGGCGGCGUGCUUCACACAUGCAAGUCGAACGGAAAGGCCCUGCUUUUGUGGGGUGCUCGAGUGGCGAACGGGUGAGUAACACGUGAGUAACCUGCCCUUGACUUUGGGAUAACUUCAGGAAACUGGGGCUAAUACCGGAUAGGAGCUCCUGCUGCAUGGUGGGGGUUGGAAAGUUUCGGCGGUUGGGGAUGGACUCGCGGCUUAUCAGCUUGUUGGUGGGGUAGUGGCUUACCAAGGCUUUGACGGGUAGCCGGCCUGAGGGGGUGACCGGCCACAGGGGGACGGGGAAAGGGCCCAGGCCCCCACGGGGGGCAGGGGGGGGGAAUUUUGCACAAGGGGGGGAGGCCGUGGGCAACAACGCCGGGUGGGGGAUGACGGCCUUCGGGUUUGAAACCGCUUUCGCCUGUGAAGAAGCGGGGGGGACGGUAAUGGGGAAAGAAGCACCGGUAAACUAGGU
rnacentral:rRNA from 1 species